rnacentral:lncRNA from 1 species
GCCUUCACACACAAAUGUCCAACCACAGGUCUUCCUGAGUCCUCUUUCAGGCCUAGUAUUGGCUCCUAGCUUCAGCCCUACACAUGGUGGGCAGCUCUGGAACAGGGCACAUCCUAUUCCCUGGGAUACAUCUCAAUGGAGGAUGCCCCUUUCCAAUAAUCCCCAAGGUUUCUGUUGCUGAGAUGAAACGCCAUGACCAAGAAGCAAGUUGAGGAGGAAAGGGUUUAUUCAGCUUACACUUCCAUACUGCUGUUCAUCACCAAAAGAGGUCAGGACUGGAGCUCCACCCAGGGCAGGAACCUGGAGGCAGGAGCUGAUGCAGAGGCCAUGGAGGGGCAUUGUUGACUGGCUUGCUCUUCAAGCAUGGGGCCUGCUGGGACUCGUCUCCUGCUAUGCUUCAGCUCCUGCCCAAUCACUUACCUGUGCCAGGAGAAGCCUCUGGACAUGCCUGGGCAGCCUCUGGACAUGCACUGCUCCCAUUCCUCGCUGAGAGGGCAUCUCCCCGAGUGCCUCUCCAUCCCAGUAGACUCUCCAGAUGUGCCCAGUCCUCAACUGGUGUGGCCUCACCAGAGAGACUCAGACCAAACAGGCCUCCACAGCCUCUCUCUAGACACUUUCUGGGAAACCACAGUGGAAUACAAAAGGGCACCAACUGUUCUGAUCUCUUGAAGAGCUCCUCAGGCAACCUUCUGUUUCUAGCAAGAUGAUACACCCAAGCCUUGAUGACAAGGCUUGGCUCUCAACCUCCUUGCUCCCCACCUCCUGUGAAAUACACAAAGAAAUUCAGUGAUCAUCGGGGAUGCUCUGGUCCAAACACUACCUGCCAGCCAGACGCAGGAGAUGGAUGGCUCAGCAGUAAUCGUGCUGCUUGAGCUUGGUGUCUAAUGGGGACAGUAGUGACAGGAAGUUCACAGGGACUGGAAGACAUGAGUUCUCUGAGGGAAAGGAAGGUGAAGCCUGGUGCUUAGGACCCUCAGGAGACCAUAGGAUGUGAGAAGGCUCAAGACACCCAGAGGUGGGGUCAGAAACAGGGCAAAGGAGACCAAGCAUGGGAGAGCUGCAGUGGACGUGUACAGACAGGAGAAGCAGGCCCUAAAGAAUCCCUGAGGCGGCAGAGAGGCUGGGCUGUGGAACUUUUUAAUUACUUUGCAUUAGGGGACUGUAGAGACCCAGAAGCCCACCCUUCCCCUCCCCUCAUCAGCUUAGCCCCAACAUAUGGUGGCUACCAAAGUAGUUAAAUCGGCUCUUGGUAGAAAAGGAAAGAGAUUCCUCCCAGGCUCUUCCCAGGGUCCACGGCCACACUCCAGGAGGGCUCAACUCCAGGGCAAGGCAGCUGGGACAGCAGGCAGCUGAAGGAGGACUAUUACUGCACCUUAGGGAAGAGUGCAGUGGCGAGUGGGGAGGACUCUGCUGGGACCCGGGGGUCAUGUGCAUUCCCAUUUAGUUGAGCUCUGCUUAAUCCGGGCCUAGGCUCACAGUAAUGGGGAACGAGGAGAGGCUCCCAUCAGAGACCAAGAAGAUGACAGACUCUCUGUAAAGGCUGUCAGAGGGGUCUGCAUGACCAACCACACCUGCUCCUGUUCCUUUGGGGCUCUUGUGACCUCCCUGUCUUCUUGUGAGAUCUUAUGUUCCUCCAACCCUGAGAGCUACAAACCAAUCUCCGGAAUAAAAAAAUCUGUCCCUCGUGCUGUCAG